rnacentral:rRNA from 1 species
AACGAACGCUGGCGGCAUGCCUAACACAUGCAAGUCGAACGAGACCUUCGGGUCUAGUGGCGCACGGGUGCGUAACACGUGGGAAUCUGCCCUUUGCUUCGGAAUAACAGUUAGAAAUGACUGCUAAUACCGGAUGAUGUCGAAAGACCAAAGAUUUAUCGGCAAAGGAUGAGCCCGCGUAGGAUUAGGUAGUUGGUGGGGUAAAGGCCUACCAAGCCGACGAUCCUUAGCUGGUCUGAGAGGAUGAUCAGCCACACUGGGACUGAGACACGGCCCAGACUCCUACGGGAGGCAGCAGUGGGGAAUAUUGGAUAAUGGGCGAAAGCCUGAUCCAGCAAUGCCGCGUGAGUGAUGAAGGCCUUAGGGUUGUAAAGCUCUUUUACCAGGGAUGAUAAUGACAGUACCUGGAGAAUAAGCUCUGGCUAACUCCGUG